UGUGUAUAUAUAUAUAUAUAUAUAUAUAGAGCUAGGCGCCUAUGCUUUCGAAAGUACGGAGGCCUCCGUGCUUAUAAGUUGUUUUCGAUGAUAGGACAUCCGAUUCGGCGAUCGGUUCCGUUAAACUUGAUCUACGCUAUUGGAACUAUCUAGAAACCAAAUUUAAUAAUUUUUUGCCUUCAUUUGUUUAGUGAACGAUUAGCCUCAAAAUGAACGGCCGAAAAUAAAAAUCUCAUAAAAAACAGUGAUAAAGGACUCAAAUUUCAAAUCGGAAGUAUUGAUUUUGCUAUUGAUGUUAAAUAGAAUUUUCUAUUAAAUUUUUAUGUAAUUUGGAUACUUCUACACCGUUGUACUUAAAAACAUGCCACAUCGGCCGUUAAAAUAGUCAUUUUUGAGAACUUUUGAUCGCUUGGUAAAUGAUGUCAAAAAAUUAUAAAAUUUGGUUUCUAAAUAGUUCCAAUAAGGUAGAUUAUAUUUAACGGAGCUGAUCGUCAAAUCGGAUGUCCUAUCGUCGAAAACAACUUACAAGCA
rnacentral:lncRNA from 1 species